GAUUAACGCUAGCGGAAGGCAUAAUACAUGCAAGUCGAACGGGAUAGAACUUAGCAAUAGGUUCUUGAGAGUGGCGCACGGGUGCGUAACACGUAUGCAACCUACCUUUAACUGGGGGAUAGCCUCUCGAAAGAGAGAUUAAUACCCCAUAGUAUAACUGAAGAGCAUUUUUUGGUUAUUAAAGAUUUAUCGGUUAAAGAUGGGCAUGCGGCUGAUUAGGUAGUUGGCAGGGUAACGGCCUACCAAGACGAUGAUCAGUAGGGGGCGUCAGAGCGUGGUCCCCCACACUGGCACUGAGAUACGGGCCAGACUCCUACGGGAGGCAGCAGUAGGGAAUAUUGGGCAAUGGAUGCAAGUCUGACCCAGCCAUGCCGCGUGCAGGAAGAAGGUCCUCUGGAUUGUAAACUGCUUUUANCGGGGAAGAAUAGUUUUCUUGCGAGGGAAUGUGACGGUACCCGAUGAAUAAGCCACGGCUAACUACGUG
rnacentral:rRNA from 1 species